rnacentral:tRNA from 1 species
GCGGGCGUAGCUCAGUGGUAGAGCGCCACCUUGCCAAGGUGGAUGUCGAGGGUUCGAACCCCUUCGCCCGCUCCA